UCAGGGUAAAAAUAUAAAUUAUUGAAAGUCCUAUCUACUCGGAUACUACAUUAAAGAGAAUGCAACUUGAGAGGGUCGAUAUGAUCUGGUUUCUCUUAGCAUUUUCCAAUUCCAUUUUCAUCUUUGGUCUGGAAAAUUUCCAGGAUUUAUG